CCAGAGAACUUAGCAGAGAUGCUUUGGUGCCUUCGGGAACUCUGAGACAAGUGCUGCAUGGCUGUCGUCAGCUCGUGUUGUGAAAUGUUGGGUUAAGUCCCGCAACGAGCGCAACCCUUAUCCUUUGUUGCCAGCGGCUCGGCCGGGAACUCAAAGGAGACUGCCGGUGAUAAACCGGGAGGAAGGUGGGGAUGACGUCAAGUCAUCAUGGCCCUUACGGCCAGGGCUACACACGUGCUACAAUGGCGCAUACAAAGAGAAGCGACCUCGCGAGAGCAAGCGGACCUCAUAAAGUGCGUCGUAGUCCGGAUUGGAGUCUGCAACUCGACUCCAUGAAGUCGGAAUCGCUAGUAAUCGUAGAUCAGAAUGCUACGGUGAAUACGUUCCCGGGCCUUGUACACACCGCCCGUCACACCAUGGGAGUGGGUUGCAAAAGAAGUAGGUAGCUUAACCUUCGGGAGGGCGCUUACCACUUUGUGAUUCAUGACUGGGGUGAAGUCGUAACAAGGUAAGCGUAGCGAG
rnacentral:rRNA from 1 species